GGGGCGUUAGUUUCAACUGGCCAAAACAGUUGGCUUUUAACCAAUCGUUCUGGGUUCGAGUCCCAGCCGCCCCA
rnacentral:tRNA from 1 species